CUUCUUUGAGGCGAUGAUGAUAACUUGAGGGAAGUGCGUAAAAUAUUUGCUUUGAACAAGUUGAGGUUUGGACGGCCUACUCAUAGGCAACCGCUUCAUAUUGUCUUAGCCUUGGUGGUCGCGCGCAUUUCCCUCUAACGGUAAUUUAUUGCUCGGCAACCACAAAAGUGUGGAAAAUGUUUACUUCGAACAAGUGGAAGUUUGGAUGGCCUACUCAUAGGCAACCGCUUUAUAUUGUCUUACCCUUGCUGAUUACACACAUUUUCCUACAACGGUAAUUUAUUGCUCAGGAGCCGCUUCCUACCGUCCUUAUCCUUGGCGGUUGCGCACAUUUCCCUCCUACGGUAAUCUAUUGCUCCUACUGCUACCCAAUCCUUAUGACCAAUCUUGCCGAGUACUUAUGAACAAUGUUGCCGAUUCUACUUAACUGAGCCUUACCUUUUUGUUCCCUUUUUGGGUGAUUCUUUAAACUGGUUUUACAAAAGAAUUUAUACAACUGUUUGGAUUGUUCCCUGUUCAUUGCCUUUUUAAAUACUUUUCUUAGUUUGUUUGUCGACAUUUGAAUUGAAUUCUUCCUCGGAUUUUUUUUGCAUGCAUAUUCUUUUGGCAAUUCUUUGGAUUAUGUUUUUUCAUUCAUUUAGCAUAGUCUAUUAUAGUAUUUUCAUUGACCGUAAUAGAACCAUCUAAUUUAUUUCCUGCUUUUUUGAAGAAUAUUUUCCCUGCUGCCGCUUUCUAUUUUCUGGUUCUUUUGUGAGGCACUGAUGGCAAGCUGAGGAAAGUUGUUCAUUAACUGCUCUCGGUAAUCCACUGAUCCUGCCACUACCUUUUACUCAUGCAUCUCUAUAGGUGCUUCUGGUGAUUUAUUCAGUCUUCUCGGAGCAAUGCUGUCGGAGCUUCUCACUAACUGGACCUUAUAACCACACAAGAUUUAUCUUUUCUUUCUCUCAUUUCCUUUUUGAGGCUCAUGAGUAAGUUUUCUGGAAGCUGAUUUUUUUCGACUUACUUCUACAGGCCGGAGCUUUAAUAACUCUUUUGGCCAUGAUUGCGAUUAGCUUGGCCCUCGAAAUACUCCCGCAUGUAGAUAACUUUGCACAUAUUGGGGCAUUUCUCACUAGCUUUCUCUUAGGUUUUGUACUACUGCUCGAACCUCAGUUUGCAUAGUUGGAACGGCAAAAUCUGCCUCCUGGAAGGAUGGUCCCACAGAGACAUAAGGCUUACCAGUUAAUGUUAUUGGUUGUUGCGCUCA